GAGCCCGGAUAGCUCAGUCGGUA
rnacentral:piRNA from 3 species